UACGUAGGGGGCAAGCGUUGUCCGGAAUUAUUGGGCGUAAAGAGCGCGUAGGCGGUCCGAUAAGUCGGCUGUGAAAGUCAGGGGCUCAACCCUUGAAAGCCGGCCGAUACUGUCGGACUAGAGUCCGGAAGAGGCAAGUGGAAUUCCCGGUGUAGCGGUGAAAUGCGCAGAUAUCAGGAAGAACACCAAUGGCGAAGGCAGCUCUCUGGGACGGUACUGACGCUGAGACGCGAAAGCGUGGGGAGCGAACAGG
rnacentral:rRNA from 1 species